rnacentral:tRNA from 1 species
GAGGGUAUAGCUCAAGUGGUAGAGCACACGUUUAACACACAUGAGGUCCCGGGUUCAAUUCCCAGUACCUCCU